UGGAUCUGGCCACUUACACAUCCAACUGUCUUCAUCUAGAGGUGUUUCUCCAGGGCCAGCCCUGAGGUGGAAAUUUGCAUUAAUGUAGCUGAUUAAGCCCUCCUUUGUAGAUGCCUUAUGGACAGAAAUGGGCCCUUCCUCUUCUCUUUGUUUCUCAUACUUGACUGUGGCUCUGCACCCCCAGGAGAUUGGUUCCAGGACCCCAGCUGAUAUCAAAAUCUGUGGAUGCUCAGUCUCUUCUAUAAAAUGCUGUAAUA
rnacentral:lncRNA from 1 species